UACAGAGGUCUCAAGCGUUGUUCGGAUUCAUUGGGCGUAAAGGGUGCGUAGGCGGCGCGGUAAGUCGGGUGUGAAAUCUUGGAGCUUAACUCCGAAACUGCAUUCGAUACUGCGGUGCUUGAGGACUGGAGAGGAGACUGGAAUUCAUGGUGUAGCAGUGAAAUGACGUAGAGAUCAUGAGGAAGACCAGUGGCGAAGGCAGCUCGCUGGAACGGUACUGACGCUGAGGCGCGAAAGCGUGGGGAGCGAACAGG
rnacentral:rRNA from 1 species